rnacentral:rRNA from 1 species
GCAAGUUGAACGAAGAGAUAAUCUAGAAGUUUUCGGACGGAAACAGGAUUUACUGAGUAGCGAACGGGUGAGUAACGCGUGAAUAACCAACCCUCCACAGGGGGACAACAACUGGAAACGGUUGCUAAUACCGCAUAAGCCCACAGUACCGCAUGGUACGGAGGGAAAAACUUCGGUGGUGGAGGACGGAUUCGCGUUCCAUUAGCUAGUAGGUAGGGUAAAGGCCUACCUAGGCAACGAUGGAUAGCCGAGCUGAGAGGCUGAUC